rnacentral:rRNA from 1 species
UUCGGCGGUUAUAGACAGUGGGUCACACCCGUUCCCAUUCCGAACACGGAAGUUAAGCCAUAUGUCGCUGAUGGUACCUGGUCUCUCAGGCCCGGAAGAGUAGGUUGCCGCCGGAU